rnacentral:rRNA from 1 species
UACGUAGGGUGCGAGCGUUAAUCGGAAUUACUGGGCGUAAAGCGUGCGCAGGCGGUUCGUUGUGUCGGUGGUGAAAUCCCCGGGCUUAACCUGGGAAUGGCCAUGGAAACUGGCGAACUGGAGUGCGGCAGAGGGGGGUGGAAUUCCGCGUGUAGCAGUGAAAUGCGUAGAGAUGUGGAGGAACACCGAUGGCGAAGGCAGCCCCCUGGGUUAACACUGACGCUCAGGCACGAAAGCGUGGGGAGCAAACAGG